rnacentral:rRNA from 1 species
UACGAAGGGGCUAGCGUUGCUCGGAAUCACUGGGCGUAAAGGGUGCGUAGGCGGGUCUUUAAGUCAGGGGUGAAAUCCUGGAGCUCAACUCCAGAACUGCCUUGAUACUGAAGAUCUUGAGUUCGGGAGAGGUGAGUGGAACUGCGAGUGUAGAGGUGAAAUUCGUAGAUAUUCGCAAGAACACCAGUGGCGAAGGCGGCUCACUGGCCCGAUACUGACGCUGAGGUGCGAAAGCGUGGGAGCAAACAGGG